rnacentral:rRNA from 1 species
AUUGAACGCUGGCGGCAGGCCUAACACAUGCAAGUCGAGCGGAUGAAGGGAGCUUUCUCCUGGAUUCCGCUGCGGACGGGUGAGUAAUGCCUAGGAAUCUGCCUUGUAUUUAGGGAUAACGUCCGUAAACGGGCGCUAAUACCGCAUACGUCCUGAGGUAGAAAGUGGUGGAUCUUCGGACCUCACGCUAUUUGAUGACCCUAGGUCGUAUUAUCUAGUUGUUGGGGUAAAUUCCUACAAAGGCGACGAUCCGUAACUGGUCUGAGAGGAUGAUCAGCAACACUGGAACUGAGAAACGGUCCAGCUCCCUCCGGGAGGCAGAGGUGGGGAUUAUUGGAAAAUGGCGGAAGGCUUGAGCAAGAACUGCGGGGGGUGUGAAGAAGGUCUUCGGAUUGUAAAGCACUUUAAGAUGGGAGGACGGGUAGUAAGUUAAUUGCUCGCUGUUUGAACGUAACUAAUAGAAUAAGCACCGCUUAACUUCGU